AUUGAACGCUGGCGGCAGGCCUAACACAUGCAAGUCGAGCGGGGGUAGCAAUACCCUAGCGGCGGACGGGUGAGGAAUGCAUCGGAACGUGCCCAGUAAUGGGGGAUAACACAGCGAAAGCUGUGCUAAUACCGCAUACGCCCUGAGGGGGAAAGCGGGGGAUCGCAAGACCUCGCGUUAUUGGAGCGGCCGAUGCCCGAUUAGCUAGUUGGUGAGGUAAAGGCUCACCAAGGCGACGAUCGGUAGCUGGUCUGAGAGGAUGAUCAGCCACACUGGAACUGAGACACGGUCCAGACUCCUACGGGAGGCAGCGGUGGGGAAUAUUGGACAAUGGGCGCAAGCCUGAUCCAGCCAUGCCGCGUGAGUGAAGAAGGCCUUCGGGUUGUAAAGCUCUUUAAGCGGGGAGGAAGGUUCGCAACCUAAUACGUUGUGGAAUUGACGUUACCUGCAGAAUAAGCACCGGCUAACUCUGUGCCAGCCGCCGCAGUAACAC
rnacentral:rRNA from 1 species